AUUGAACGCUGGCGGCAUGCCUUACACAUGCAAGUCGAACGGCAGCACGGGUGCUUGCCCCUGGUGGCGAGUGGCGAACGGGUGAGUAAUACAUCGGAACAUGUCCUGUAGUGGGGGAUAGCCCGGCGAAAGCCGGAUUAAUACCGCAUACGAUCCACGGAUGAAAGCGGGGGACCUUCGGGCCUCGCGCUAUCGGGUUGGCCGAUGGCUGAUUAGCUAGUUGGUGGGGUAAAGGCCUACCAAGGCGACGAUCAGUAGCUGGUCUGAGAGGACGACCAGCAACACUGGGAGUGAGACACGGCCGAGCCUCAAAGGGGAGGCAGCAGGGGGGAAUUUUGGAAAAGGGGCGAAAGCCUGAUCAAGCAAUGCCGCGUGUGUGAAGAAGGCAUUCGGGUUGAAAAGCACUUUUGCGGGAAAAGAAAACCUAAACCCUAAUACGGGGGGGGGAUGACGGUACCGAAAGAAUAAGCACCGGCAAACUACGGG
rnacentral:rRNA from 1 species